GAUAACUCCGUGUCACUGCUCUCCGGUGACGAUGGCCGAUCAAGAUCAAUUUUCCCAUCUUGGUAUUCUUCCAUCCAUAAAAUCUCGACAACUUGAGUGAAUUGAAAUUCACGCAUGCUGUCGAUGGCCGAUCAGGAUCAAGAAUUCUCCACUGGAUUGCUGUCUCAGUGACGAUUUCGAUCAAAACCCUAAACCCCAAAUCGUAGAAUCCUCGAUGAUUCAGGUAUCUGUUGCAAUAGGAAUUGGACCUGCUAUGUAAAUGUGGCAAACUGAUGCUUGCAGCCAUGCUGGGUUUCAAAGCUUUUCAGCAAAUCAUUUUUGGGCGUCGCAGAGUUCAAUUUUUUUUGCUGGUAAAUCACCCUUUAGUGAAACUACAGGAUCUUCUACUUUUCUUGUUCUUUUAUUACUCUCUCUUGUAUAACUCAAAAAAAGCAACUUAGCAUGUUCUCUUUGAGCUGAACAACUGUUGAUUGGCAUGGCAGCUCAGGCGGGUAUAUGAGAUUUAGGAGAAAGUUACAUUUUAUGGUGUGUUUUCUCUGUCUCAUAAGGCUUAAUGAUGCUUGCAGCCAUGACAGACCGAUUUUUGCAGUCAUUCUGGGUGUCAAAGAUUUUGAGCUAAUCAUGUUUGGUUGUUGCAAGUUCAAUAUUUUUGUCACUAAAUCAUCCUUUUUGUGAAACUACACGACCAUCUUCUUUCUUGUUCUUAUUACUCUCUCCUGUAUAACUCAAACAAGGCAAUGAAAAUCUCUCUUGAGCUGAAAUACUGUUGCUUGGCAUGGAACCUCAGGUGGGAAUAUGAGAUUUAGGAGAAAGUUCCAUUUCAUGGUGCAUCUUCUCUGUAUCAUGAUGCGUGUAGCCACGAACAGAUUCCAAAGCUUUUAAGUUGGUUCGUGUUUCGGCUUAGAAAAAUUCAGUUUCCUUCCCACCCUCCCCAAACCGCCCUUUUCAUGAAAUUAAACAUGACCUUCCUCUUCUUUUUUUUUUUAUUACUCUCGCUGCUCCGUUUAUUAAAACAUGAGGAUGUGGAGGUUUUGCCUUCUGGGGAGUUCAAUAUUUCUUGUUGCUCUUCAGGUGGGUUCAGUGUUACGAAAGGCGCUCGCCUCGUCGCCAAAGGCGAGAGGCGAGGCGAGGCGAGGGUGGCUCGCCAUUCUCUGGCGAGGCGAGGCGAGGAGAAAAAGGCGAGCCCCUGGCGAACUAUGGCGAUGAAAUGGCGAGCGAAAGGCGCCGCCUUUUUGAUUAAAAAAUUUUGACUUAAUAAUAUUAGUCAAAAUUAGGGUUUUUUUUUUACUUUUGAAAAUUUCUGAAAUCCUCCACAUCGCGACUCUCUCUCUCUCUCUCUAUCGAUCGAUUGACUUUUCUCUUCUCAUCCAUCGCAUCGCUGCUCCCUCGCUGUCCCUCGCUGUCGCGCAUCUCUGCUCCCUCGCUGUCGCGUCUCUGCUCCCUCGCUGUUGCGUCUCUUCUCCCUCGCCGACGACCCUCGCGACUCUCACUCUCUGUUUUCAGGUAAUGUUUUCUCAUUUCUGAUUUCUCUCUCCUUCUUCUGUUCUUAUUUUUUCUGUUCUUCUUCAUUUUUAUUUUUAUUUUUGGUAAGCUGCAGUCAGGCAGUGCUUACUGCUUUGUGUAACUGUAAAGUGUUAAUUUUUUUUAAAAAAUUCUUUGCUAAUAUGUGUUAUUGCUAUUAAGACUUUGGAUAAAAUAUGCAAUUAAAUAUUUUUAAUUUUUGGUAUUAAUUGGCGCCUUUAUUCAAAAAGGCAAGCGCCUCGCCGCGUGGCGAGGCAGGCCCUUGUCGCCUUUUGUCGCCUCUCGCCGUCCACAACACUGGGUGGGUUUAUGAGAUUGUAAUUAAAUUUCCAUCUCAUGGUGUUUCUUCUCCAUCUCACAGGCCUGAUUGAUGCUUGUAGCCACGACAGAUUUCAAUUCUUCUGAGCUCAUCAUGUUUUGGAUUUAUAGAGUUCAGUUUUGUUUCUUUCGCCAAACCACCAUUUUGGUGAAAUCACACACGACCUUCCCUUUUUCUUAUUUUUAGUGCUCUUUCCAAUAUAACUCAAAAAGGGCAAUCGUUCACUCUAGAGCUGAAAAACUGUUUUUUGGCAUGGCAUCUCAUGUGGGUCUCUGAGAUUUUUGAAGAAGUACCAUUUCUUGGUGUUUUUUCUCUGUCUCUCAAGGCUAACUAAUGCUUGCAGCCAUGACAUGUUUCUAAGCUUUUGGGCUGAUUCGUGUUUUGUGUUGAGUUUCUUACCCAUCCCUCGGUCGAACCACCCUUUUUGUGAUAUUACACAAGCACUUUCUCUUUUCUUGUUCUUUAUACUCUGCUCCAUUUAUACACAAUGAGGUUUUGGAGGUUUUCAUCCAUCGAUGUUCAAUUAAACAUGUCUCAUGUCAAACUAAAGAACUUCUGCUUGGCACGACACUUCAGGUGGGUCAUGAGAUUUUGGGAAAUGUUCCACUUAUUGGUCUUUCUUCUCUGUCUCCUAGGGAAGCUGGUGCUUGCUGCCAUGCCUGGGUUUCGAAGCUUUUGAGCUAAUCAUGUUUGGGCAUUGCAAAGUUCAGUUGUUUUGUCACUAUAUCAUCCCUUUGGUGAAACUACAUGACCUUUUACCUUUCUUGUUCUUAUUACUCACUCAUGUAAAAUUCAAAAAAAAAAAGAAGCAAUUUAACAAGUUCUCUCUUGAGCAGAAAAACUGUUGCUUGGAGUAAGUUCCAUUUCAUGGUGCAUAUUCUCCGUCUCAUAAGGCUUACUGAUGCUUGCAGCCAAGACAGAUUUCAAUGUUUUUGAGUUAAUUUGUUUUUCGGCUUGGCAAAGUUCAAUUUCCUUUCCCCCUUACCCAAAUCACCCUUUCCGUGGAAUUACACAUGAGCUCCUCUGUUUGUUAUUCUUAUACAUCUUUUUCCUCUGUUGAUAAACCAUGUUAAGAAACCAAGAGGAAGUGGAGGUUUUUUUCUUUUGUGCAAUUUCAAUAGAACUUGUUGUCUCUCAAGGUGAUUAAACUGUUGCUUGGUAGUAGGUGCGACACCUCAGAUGGGUCUAGAUUUUGGAAAUAAAUUUCUAUUUCAUGGUGUUUAUUCUUCAUCUCACUUGACUAGCCGAUACUUGUAGCCACGACAGAUUUCAAUGCUUUUGUUCUAACCGUGUUUUGGCUUAGCAUGUUCAGUUUUUUUCUCUCACAAACCUCCUUUUUUGGUUAUAUUACGCAUGACCUUCCAUUUUUCAUAUUUUAGUUCUCUCCCUGUAUUUCUCAAAAUGGCAAUCAAACAUGUUCUCUCUUGAGCUGAAUAACUAUUGCUUGGCUUGGCAUCUCAUGUGGGUUUGGGUGAUUAUGGGGAAACAUCCAUUUCAUUGUGUAUUUUUCUGUCUCACAAGGUUAACUAAUGCUUGCAGCCCUGACAGGUUUCUGAGCUUUUGAGCUGAUUCAUGUUUUUGUCCCACCCAUCACCUAACCAUUAUAUUCAAUCAAACAUGUUGCUUGUCGAGCUAAAGAACUGUCGCUUGGCACAACACAAACAUGUUGAUUCAUGUUCUCUUUUGAGCUAAAAUUUGAUGCUUGGCAUGACACCUUAGGUGGGUAUAUGAGAUUUAGGAGAAAGUUUCAUUUCAUGGUGCAUCUUCUCUGUCUCAUAAAGCUAACUGUUGCUUGCAACCAUGACAGAUUUCAAAGCUUUUCAGUUGAUUCGUGUUUUGGCUUGGCAAAGUUCAGUUUCCUUUCACCCCUCCCCAAACCACCCUUUUUGUGAAAUUGCACAUGACUUUCCUCUUUUGUUAUUCUUAUUACCCUUUCUGCUCAGUUUGUAUACCAUGAGGAUGUGGAGGUUUUGUCUUUCCUGGAAGUUCAGUUAAACUUGUUUUCUCUCGAGCUGAUGAAACUGUUGCUUGUCACGGCACCUCAGGUGUCUCCAUCUUUUGACAAGUACCAGCUCAAGAAUGAGGCAUUUGAACGAAAUGUUGGAUUAUUGAGGGGUGGUUGCCUCCCUUCUCUUGAAAUUGGUAAUAAUACUCAUUGGAGGCCAAAUAGACAUCGACGGCAAGUGUUUGUACCUUGGAAUUUGAUGAUUGCACGCAAUAUGUUGGCACACCAGGUUGUGGAGGUUUUGUCUUUUGAGGAAGCUCAAUAAUUUUUGUUUUCUUUGGAGCUAAUCAAAUGAUGCUUGACACCACUCGUCCGCCACGACAGAUUUCAAUGCUUCUGAGCUCAUCGUGAUUUGGCUUUGCACAGCUCAAUUUUUUUCACUCACCAAACCACCCUUUUGGUGAAAUUACACGACCUUCCAUUUCCCAUAUUUCUAGUUGUCUUUCCGGUACAACUCAAAAGGGCAAUCAAACCUGUUCUCUCUUGAGCUGAAUAGCUGUUGCUUGGCAUGGCAUCUCAUGUGGGUAUGUGAUAUUUUUGAAGAAGCACCAUUUAUUGGUGUUUUUUCUAUCUCUCAAAGCUAACUAUUGCUUGCAGCCAUGACAUGUUUCUAUGCUUUUGAGUUGAUUCGUGUUUUGAGUUGAGUUGGAACAUACAUUUUGGUGCUUAGGUACUUCUAGCCCAGCUUAUGGAGAGAGUAUAUGUGCCUGUUUCUUUCAUCUUCUGUUACGUUUCCUUUUUGUCUGGCCAUCUUAUCUUAUGGUUUUGAAUGCUUGCUUUACACCCGUGACAUCGAAAUACACCAUUCAGAUGAUAUGCAUGCUUUCCCAGCAAGCUUUGAUUGAAAAGGAGAGACUCUAUGCUCUUAGAUUUCUAAUGUUUCUUUAUUGGAAAUUGUUAGUUAAACUCACAGGAGGCCAAAUGGAUAUUGUAAGGUUUUAAAGGUACAAUUCUUUUGAGUUUUAGUUGGCAGCAUCCAUUAGGAUAUGUAUGAAACUACUAACUUGGUCUUUGUUCUUGCCAUUCUUUACAAGAUGGCAACAAGUGUUUAUGCCUUGAUGAUUGUAGACAAAAUAAUUGUACAGCAGGUAAUCUGCAUAUUGAGACUACUGAUACAUGAGUUGACUGUUGUUUACUGAUAAGGAAAUUUCUAGGAAGCAAAUGUACUCCAAGUACUUCUAGUUUUCUGACAAACAAAUAAAAAUAUUGAAUUAUAUAUGUUACUUUCUAAAGCUGUACUAUGUCUUGAUUGAUCUUUUUGUUUGCAUAUAUAAUCUGAAAGGCCAAAGAGGGUGUUGCAUUCUAUGAAAGAGUCUAGAGUCUCUGCUAAGAAUCACCCCUGUGCAUUCCAGUGUCUCCUUCAAAGUUUCCAUUUUUGUUAUUUUUAGUACUCUUUACGGUAUAACUCAAAAUGGCAAUCAAACAUGUUCUCUAUUGAACUGACAAACAUGUGCUUGUUAUGACAUCUCAUGUGGGUCUGUGAUAUUUUGGAGAAAUUUUCAUUUUAUGAUGUUUAUUCUCAGUCUCAGAAGGUCGUGGCUUACUGAUGCUUACAGCCAUGACAGGUUUCUAAGCUUUUGAGCUGAUUCGUGUUUUGACCUGACAAUGUUCAGUUCCUCUCCAACCCCUCAUUGAACCUCCCUUUUCGUGAUAUUGCACAGGCACUCCCUCUUUUGUUGUUCUUAGUACUCACUCUGCUCUGUUUUAUAUACAUUGAAGAUAUAUAGGUUUUCAUCUGUCGAUGUUCAAUCAAACAUAUUGCCUGUCCGGAUAAAGAAUUGUUGCUUGGCACGGCACUUCAAGUGGGUCUAUGAGAUUUUUUGAAAAGUUCCAUUUUUGGUCUUUCUUCUCUGUCUCAUAGGCAAACUGAUGCUUGCAGCCAUGUUGGGUUUCAAAAUUUUUGAGCUAAUCAUGUUUGGGCAUCGCAAAGUUCAAUUCAUUUUGUUGGUAAAUCACCCUUUUUUGUUGAACUACACAACCUUCUACUUUUCUUGUUCUUAUAUUACACUCUUGUAUAACUCAAGAAAAAGCAAUUUAGCAUGUUCUCUCUUGAUCUGAAAGCUGUUGAUUGGCAUGGCAGCUCAGGUGGCUAUAUGAGAUUUUGGAAAAAGUUUCAAUUCAUGGUGCAUCUUCUCCGUCUCUUAAGGCUUACUGAAGCUUGCAGCCAUGACAGACCGAUGCUCGCAGCCAUUCUAGGUGUCAAAGCUUUUGAGUUAAUCAUGUUUGAGUAUCGCAAAGUUCAAUUCUUUUGUCGCUAAAUCAUCCUUUUUUUGAAACUACACAACCAUCUUCUUUCUUGUUCUUACUCUAUAGUAUAACUCAAACAAGGCAAUUUAAUAUCUCUCUUGAGCUGAAAUACUGUUGUGUGGCAUGUGGGUCAAUGAGAUUUUGGGAGAAAGUUCCAUUUCAUAGUGCAUCUUCUCUGUAUCAUAAGGCUAUAACUGAUGCUUGCAGCCAUGACAGAUUUUAAAGCAUUUGAGUUGGUUUGUGUUUUGGCUUAGCAAAAUUCAGCCCCCCCCCCCCUUCCAAACUACUCUUUUCGUGAAAUCACACAUGACCUUCCUCUUUUUUUUAAAAAAAAAAAAAAUUAUUCUCUCUGCUCCUUUUAUAAACCAUGAGGAUAUGGAGGUUGUCUACCGUGGAAUUUCAAUAAUUCUUGUUUUCUCGCGAGCUAAUUAAAUGAUGCUUGACACCGCUCCUCAGGUGGGUCUAUGAGAUUUUGGAAUUAAAUUUUCAUUUCAUGGUGUUUCUUCACCAUCUCACACAGCGAAUUGAUGCUUGUAGCCACGACAGAUUUCAAUGCUUUAUGAGCUAAUUGAGUUUGGGUUCGCAAAGUUCAUUUUUUUUUUUCUUACCAAAUCACCCUUUUGGUGAAAUUACUCACGACCUUCCAUUUUUCUAAUUUUUAGUACUCUUUCUGGUAUGACUCAAAAGGGCAAUCAAACCUGUUCUUUCUUGAGCUGAAAAGCUGUUGCUUGGCAUGGCAUCACAUCGGGAUCUGUGAGACUUUUGAAGAAGUAUCAUUUCUUGGUGUUUUUUCUCUCUCUCAAGGCAGACUAAUGCUUGCAGCCAUGACAUGUUUCUAAGCUUUUGAGUUGGUUCGUGUUUUGAGUUGAGUUUAUUUCCCAUCCCUCACCGAACAACCCUUUUCAUGAUAUUACACAUGCACUUCCUCUUUUCUUGUUCUUAGUACUCACUCUGCUCCAUUAUAUACACAAUGAGGAUUUGGAGGUUUUCAUCCAUAAAUGUUCGAUCAAACUUAGCUCAUGAUGAAGUAAAGAACUGUUGCUUGGCACAACGCUUCGGGCGGGUCUAUGAGAUUUUGGGAAAUGUUCCAUUUUUGGGUCUUUCUUCUCUGUCUCAUAGGCAAACUGGUGCUUGCAGCCAAACUGGGUUUCGAAGCAUUUGAGCUAAUCAUGUUUGGGCGUCACAAAGUUCAAUUUAUUUUGUCGGUGGGUAGAUCUGAUUUAGGAGAAGGUUCCAUUUCAUGGUGCAUCUUCUCUGUCUAGUGAAGCUGUCUGAUAUUUAGGAGAAAGAGAGCUGCAGCAGCGCAUUUUAGAAACUCGCCACCUCAAAUACACCGAUCGCCUGUUUUCCUCCCAGAGUCCUUCACGGAUCGGCUCUUAAGAUGCCCAAUUCUAGCCUACUUUUUAAGAAAAAAGAUUUAGAACUUGGUAUCAAGAAAGAAACCUAAACACAUUUUCCCUCAUUCUUAUCUGCUGGAAAAUUCUUGCAAGCCUUCUUUAGAAAAAAUCAAGAACUUUGCUUUUUAAAGUUACAUUGGUAUUCAAAAAUACAUAUUUUCACAAAAUCGAGAAUUUUUGCAUGAAUGCUUUUUUUAAAAAUUCUUGAACUUGUUGCCAUAUUUUAAGGAAAUUGUAGUUUUCAGGAAUAUAUUGGCAUUGCACAUGUCAGAAUUUUUUUUUUGAAAAUAUUAUGUUUUUAUUCUUGCAAUGUGUGUUAAGGGUGUUCAAGAUUUUGUUUUUACCUUUUUAGUGAGAUCGGUAGCAUUAAGUGAAUGCCUCAGGCUAUUUGGAGCUUCACCCAGUUUCCAUCAGUUAUAUGUUGCUAUAGGCAUUGGUACCUGCUACGGUAUGGUGGAUGGCAAUGAUAUACCUGUGAAUUAUGAGAUCAGGAAAAAGAGGUGCAGGCCCAGAGUUGAGAAGCGAAACUGAACUUCCUUCCCCACAGCCAAAGAAACUGACUGGAUAGUGCACUGUCAGGAGAGAGAUUUGAUCUUCACAGAAUAUUAUGUGGGGAAAUGCUUCUGAAAAGCAUGAUCCCGAGUCCAAAUUCCCCUUUGUCAGAUCAAAAACUCAAGUCGGUCAAUCGAUGGCUCUCUUGCUCAUUGCAGAGUCGGCGUAAACUGGAUAUCCAGAAACUCUAUGCAAUCCCUUUCAUCUAACAUUUUACCUACAGAGGACUAUUUCCUGGUUAAGAAAUUCAGUGCUUCAGAUAGAUUCUAACAGUUAUAGCUUGCAUAUCAAGCUUCAUUUAUGCGAUCGGGGAGAGGUUGCUACAUGAGAGAAGGAAACCAUUUAUGCGAAGCCCUAUGCGCAGAAGUCUGACCCCUGAUGGAUCAUCCUUCGAUAGUGAUGAAGAUAUUAGGUUUGAAAAAUGUCUCCUGGUUUUGAGAAACUUCUCCAACUUAGAUCAAGGUAUUGCACAGGGACUGGGAGGCAUAAUAGUCGUGACACGUGCAAGUUGACCUGAACAUCACCCUCGGAAUUUUAUUUUAUUUUAUUUUUUGCAGAGAGAGACAAGGCAAGUGAGGUUUGGUUGAUUUGCAUCAUAAUUUCAGAUUCCUGCUGAUUUGGUAGGAUCAGCUUGUUCAGAUUGUUAGUGUGCCUGAAGAACACAGAAACAUCCACGUGGCAAUACUAUUCAGAAUCAAUUGGAUUAAGGUGGGAGUUGAAUACAAAUCUCUACGGAGGAACGAAUGUUUGACCAAGGAAAAUCAGAUGUCAGGCGCUGACCUGUUCAACAACAAGAAACAGAACGUCUUCAGCUAAACUACACUUAUGUUGGGAACGGGAGGUCAAGUGAUGAUCUCACUGCAUAUGGACUUAUAUCUAAACUUUCGAGGCGGUUUCCAGAUUUAGUGAGUUUAUCUUCACUGGAUGAGGAUCAUCUUGUUCAGGUUUUUCUACUGUUUUUGCCUUUUUCCGAUGUAGUAUCUAGUUUCACGUUUUCAUGAUUUAAUUGGCUUUUUGGGAACUCCAACUGUGCUUAGGAGGUUGAUGACCUACUUUAAAGCUAGACCUCCUGAUAAUAGCUGAUGAUUUUAAUGAUAUUUAUUGAUAGAUCAGAAAAACAAGGAGGAAGAAGUAGAGAUACUUGGACCUUUAGAUACUUUAAGAACUUUAUAUGGAACUUAGGUGCAGUUGACUUAGGUUAUGAUGGAAAACCUUGGACGUGGUGGUGUUACAGGGAAAAUGAGGGUAUAAUCCAGGAAAGGCUAGAUCGUGUCUUAGUCUCUCCUAAUUGGAAAAUUAAAUUUGAGAAAGUGAAUGUGCAACAUAUUGAAACUGAGGCAUCAGAUCAUUCUGCCUUGAUGUUGUCUCCUGAUGCUGAACCAAUAAGGAAGAAAAAGCGGUUUUACUUUGAUAAAAGGUGGAUUGAGCAUGAAGGGGUUGAGAAUAUUAUUUCAAAAGCUUGGUCGUAUGAUUGUAAUGGCUUUGAGCAAUCUCAAGUUAGCUUUAAAAUCAAACAUUGUUGUAGAUCUUUGGUGGCUUGGUUAAGUGGGGUAAUGGUAAUGCAAGAAAGAGAAUUAUUAGCAUUAAGGGAAAGAUUACAACCCUUAGGAAUAACGCUAGUAAUUUUGACUGGAGUAAAUUAAGGUCACUGAAAAGGGAGCUAAGCAAAGCCUAUAUGAUGAAGAAACCUUUUGGAAACAGAAGUCUAGAGCCUUAUGGUUGCAUGAAGGGGAUAAAAAUACAUCAUAUUUUCACAUGGCAACCUUGCAAAGAGUUCCAGACAUCUGAUGUGAGGUGGGUGGUAGACCAAAUUGAUAUAAUUCAAGAAGUUGAGCAGUAUUAUAACAGUCUAUUCUCUACAUCUAACCCGACAGACUUGAACUGUAUCUUAAAUCAUAUUACAAUGAUUGUUAGUGAUUCUAUAAAUCAGGAUUUAAUUAAGGAAGUUGAUGAUGAGGAAAUAAAGAAUGUGGUGUUUGCAAUGCAUCCUCUUAAAGCGCCCGGUAUUGAUGGUAUGACUCCUCUAUUUUUUCAAACGUAUUGGAAUAUCUUAUAGAAGGAAAUCUGUGAUGCUGUUAAAAGUUUCUUUGGUACAGGAUAUUUACUCCCUACAUGGAACCAUACUUUAAUCACUUUAGUGCCCAAAGUUAAAAGCCCCACCUUGGUUUCGCAAUUUAGACCAAUAAGUUUAUGUUCUACCUUGUACAAGAUCAUUGCAAAAAUUCUGGCUGCAAGAAUGACAUGUGUUCUAACUAAGGUGAUAUCCCCUACUCAAGCGGCUUUCAUAUGUUGGAUAUGUCGAAAGCCUAGGACAGAGUUAAAGGGAUUUAUUUACAAGAAAUGCUUUUACGAAUGGGUUUCUAUAAAAGAUUUGUCGAAUGGAUAAUGCAAUGCAUCUCUACACCUACUUAUAGUCUUAAUAUAAAUGGGAGAUAGUUGGAUCGGUUAAACCUACCAGGGGGAUAAGACAAGGAGAUCUAAUAUCACCAUUUUUAUUUUUAACAUGUGCUGAAGGUUUAUCAACCUUAUUGAACAUAUCUGAGUAACAAAAUGAAAUCCAAGGGCUAAAGUUGAAUAGACAUGGGCCAAGUGUGACUCAUUUACUUUUUGCUGAUGUAUCCUUUAUAUUUUGUUCAGUUAACAAUCAAAAUGCAAGUUGUGUAGCCAAUAUCUUAAAGAAAUAUGAACGAAGCUCUGGGCAAGUGGUUAAUCUAGAUAAAUCAGCAAUCUGUUUCAGUAAAAAUGUGAGAGAGGAGGAGAAAGUUGAGAUAUCCUUGUCGUUUGGACAACGACAAAGGAAUGACAUGGGUAUGUACUUAGGUUUAUCGGCUGUUGUGGGACGCUCCAAGAAAAGGAUGCUAGAGUUUAUAAAAGAAAGAGUCCAAACGAAAAUAGAAGGAUGGAAGGUUAAAAUUUUUAAGUACUGCAGGAAAAGAAAUUAUGCUCAAGUCCGUACUAGCAGCGAUUCCUACGUAUGCGUUUUCUUGUUUCCAACUCCCUGAUGGUGUAUGUAAGGAAAUUACAUCCCUUUUUUUCAAAUUUUUGGUUGGGACAAACAGAGGAGAAAAGAAAGAUGCAUUUUGAGAAAUAGGAUUGAUUAUGUCAUUCUAAAUCAAUAGGAGGAUUAGGCUUUAGACAUCUAAAAGCUUUUAAUAUGGCUCUAUUUAGCUAAGCAAGCUUGGCGAAUUCUAUCUCAACCAGAUUCUUUAAUAGCAAGAGUUCUUAAAAGCAAAUAUUUUCCUAACUCAACCUUUUCUAAAGCUUCAACAUCAUCUCUGGUUCCUGGAUAUGGAAGAGUAUUUUGUGGGGGAAGAGAUCUUUGGCUAAAGGAUUAAGAUGGCGGAUUUCUGAUGGGAAAUAUAUCAAUGUGUUGAUCGGCCCUUGGAUACCAAAUAAUAAUGGGUUCAUACCUAAGAAGAUUCAUGGGCAUAGAAAUUUAGAUUUAGUAGUAUCUGAUUUAAUUGAUAAGAAUAUGCACGCAUGGAAAAUACAGGAGCUAAAUUCGUUGUUUGAAGCUGAAGAUGUUAAUGCUAUAUUGUCUACCCCAAUUUCUAUUGCAGGUUCUAAUGAUAGGUUAAUAUGGCACCAUGCAAAACAGGAGACUAUGAAGUUAAGUCAGGUUACUACAUCGCAAAGGAUUUGAUCUGUAAAACAAAGAAAAAUCUGGAAGCUCAAGCGAGUUGUCAUUCUUUUCCAAAAUGUUUUGGGACUUCCUAUGGAAGUUGGGAGUUAAGAAUAAGCUUAAACACUUUUUGAGAAAAUGUGUUCUUAACUCUCUACCCGUUCAGAGUAAUUUAGCAAAAAGACUACACAAAGUAGAUAAGACUUGUAAGAUUUGUGGUCUUGGACCUGAAGAUAUAGGACAUAUGUUAUUCAAAUGCCCUCGGUCUCAACUUGUGUGGAAGCAAUGUCCUAUAAAUUGGCCUGAUAUAGGAUAUAUUAAUGAUUUUUCUAUAUGGUGGUAUGGCUUGUUCUUAAAUACCAAAUCUUUUCCUGAAUCUAUUGACUUGUUAAACUUGAGCGCUAACAUUAUGUGGCAAAUUUGUAAAGGUAGGAAUAGUUGGUUGUUUAAUCAGGAAAGGUUAGAAACAAGAGAUAUUGUCUCUAGAUCCAUGUUCGAGUAUAAAGAAUAUAAAGAGUUACUAACAAAAAGUUUUUCAUCUUGUUCAUCUAGAAAUCAUCCUGUGAUUAAAUUAACAAAUUUGCAAGAUGGAAUGUUAUUGUUUACCGAUGCAGGAUUGCAGAAUGAUGAUGGAAGGGCAAGUAUCGGUUUUGUGGCUUUGGAUAGCCUUGGAAACCUGCUUCAUGCCCAUGGAGCCCCAAUCCAAUUUGUUGGGGAAGUCAUGACUGCUGAAGCAAUUGCUAUUAGGAAAGCUCUUGAAUAUGCUAUCACUAAGGAUGGAAGAGAGUGAAGAUUUUAUCAGAUGCUAAAAAUGUUGUUUAUAUGAUUUAGAAAUGAGCACAGACUUCAUGGGAGAUAGAAGUGUUGUGUGAAGACAUUUGGAAGCUUUCAAGCAUGUUCAUUUAUGUAGAAUUUAUAUAUAUUUGUAGAUUUAUGAAUAAAAUAGCGGAUAGGUUAGCUAGAUACUCUAUCUCUUUGUUGAAGGAAAUCCUUGGGAGAAGUUUUUCCCAAGUUGGAUCAUUCAGGAUGCAAAA